rnacentral:lncRNA from 1 species
UUGGACUUAUAUAUCAACUUCAUGAAAUAUUUAUUCUGCAAUAGCAUAUGUUUUGUACUACCACUGCAACAAAAUAUGUUUUACACGGUGCUUUUUAGACGGCGCUAUAUUCUAACAUCUUCAAUAUUUGGUAUGUGCUGACAUUAUGAUCAAGUGUCGCCAAUAGAUAUAUUUUUAAUCAAAUACUGAUAAAAAUUUUGUGACGUUAUAUUAAAGCGUCGGUAUAUUUAUCCUGAUUUGCUUGCGGAACGAUUCUUUGCUUUACACUUUUACAAGCGUCGGGAUUAUUCUUGCCGACGCUUUAAAGCGUCACUAGUUAUUAUUUAAAGUGUUCUUAAGCGUAAGAUUUGUUGUAGCAUGCAUUGCUUAAUUAGGUU